rnacentral:lncRNA from 1 species
GCCCUGAUCGGGGGCGUCCAGCCCAAGCAAGGCUGGUGGCCCCCUGUCGCGCAGUGCUAUAAAGAGGAGGUGGGGACCAAGGCACAGGGUACGAGGUUCGUCGCCGCCGCUGUUCCCCACUCCUAACCCUAAUUCGAUCCAGAGGGAGGCACUGAAGCAACAGGAAGCUCCACCACAGCCACUGCCUCAUCACCGCCGUCACCACAUCACCAUGACCUCCGGAAAUACUCUACGCCCCACUACCGAAAAUCACUGACCCAUACGAUCUAGUGGCCUAACAUGUCCAUGCCAUUGUUGUUUACCCCUGGAGUAUUUUUAACUUGAAAAUCUCUGGUGAACUACCAUUUGGAGUACAUUUGCUUGCUCUGUUAAUUUUCUUGGAUUACUCCAUCUUGCUCUAUUAAGUACUCCAUCUUGCUCUGUUAAGUACUCCAUCUUGCUCUGUACAGUACAUAGUCAAAGCUACUCCGACAGUACAUAGUCAAAGUUACUCCAACAAGAUUGCUUGGAGUAUUUAACAAGAUUUAACUUGUCAACAUUUAACAGUAUUUUUCAGUAAGUAUUCUGUACAUGCAAGUGUUCUGAACAUGCUUCUGAAUAUUUCCAGAUUCUGAACAUGCAAGAAAAACUGCAGGAGUAAACAAGUUCUUUCAGUAGAUAUUGCAAGUGUUUGUUCUGAACAUGUACUCUUACUGAAGAUAUUGCAAGUGUUCUGAACAUGUACUCUUACUUUGCUUGCAGUAAUUAACUGGACAUCUUGGAGUACUCUAAUCAUGAAUUAUUUGCAGAAAUUCAUUGAAGUACUGUACUCGAGUGUGCAUUAAUAAUUACAUAAACUUGCUUGCUGUUAACUGUUGUAGCAUUAGGAGUACUUUUACUGCAAUACUGCUUGAACUACUCCAAGCAUUAGGAGUACUGUAAAUGGAGUGCUUGCAUUAGGAGUAGCAAGUGCAGCAGUAGCCCUAAAUCCAGUAGCUGCAAUAAUGAAACCUUUUCAAACAAAAAUGAUCAUACAAAUGGAGUAAAAAUAACUUUUCAGUUAACUUAAAUUAACUGGAGCUUUUCCAGUAAAUUAAAAUGAACUGAAGCCUUUUCUGUUAAUUAGGGAGGACAACAGUAGUAUAGCACUGCAGCAGGAGUACUUUGUUUUAGAGUAUUAACUGAAAUUUUUUCAGUUAAUUAGGAGUAGUAAGCAAGCUGAUUUCCAGUAGCAAUUCCAAUACCAAUUCCUUAGAUUUAAAUUAACUGGAGUAGUAUAGCACUUGCUCUCUCUUCUUCUCUUGGAGCAGAGGAAGAGGAGCAGCAGACAUGAUGAGAUGUGGAGAUAGUUCAUCAUGCCCAUCACUUUGUUCAAGUGCCAUCCAUGUAUGUUCUUCAGAGAACAUGGCUAAUAUUAUGGGCUGCCACAUUGGUCAGCUAACUUUGAUCGAUCAGCAUUUUGCAGUUAGGUCAGUAAUAAUCCGCUUGUUGUGAUUAUGCAGCUGCAGCUUGUCUUCCUUGAACAUGGGUGAAGCACAUUUUUUGUAUAUACUCCCAAAAAUAUCAUUGGUGUAUUACUCAAAAGGAGAUGGUUCAUAAGGUCAGGCAGAUACACGAAGCAUAUUUUGACCUUAUGGGUGUAUCUUGCAGUUUAUCUAGCUAAAAUUGGCUUCAUAUAUAGGAGUACUUUGCUACAGCACUUGUAUCAAGCUGUGUCCUACUCCAAUUUCCUGACAUUUUCUUAAUGUGGGCUAGGUGGUUAUGACAAUGAAGACAAGGUUGCCAUGGCUUAUGAUCUGGCUGCUCCGAAAUAUUGGGGGCCAUCGACGCACACCAAUUUCCCGGUAUGCAUGAUAACAUGACUUGGUUCAUGGAAAGUAAAACCGUCGAUAUGGAUUUUCAUAAUGUAAUGUAAUCCAGAUUAGUGGAAAAUUAUCGAGAGGUGGAGGAGAUGUAAAGCAUGACAAGGCAGGAAUUCGUUGCACACUUGAGAAGGUAAAAAAAAGCAGGAGCCAUUUUUCAGUUUAGGUAAAAAAAAUAGUCUGUUUUCAGUAGCUGUCUCUGAUGAUCCUUAAUGAGAAAAAGAACAUGUGUACUCCAGAUGACAGUAUUUUCAGUCUAAGUACUCCAGGCAGAGGUUCUUUCAGAAUUUUAUUUAAAGUAAAUCGGCGUGUCAACAGGAUGGCAGAGGUUCUUUCAAAAUUUACAGAAUCGAUUUGUGCUUCAAGAUGACAGCAGGUUCUUUCAGAAUUUUCUUUAUUUUAAACAGCUCUCAAAACAGUAGUGCUCCAUCAGUAAAAUCAGAAUUUUCUUUAUCUUAAAAGCAGAUUAUGAUUCAAAAAAAUUCGUUGUCCUAAACAGCAGAGAGAGGAGAUGACCAUCAUAUUGUUUGUGCUUGCAUUGUUUCAGUCUAUGAUCAUCAAAUUGUUUGUGCUUGCAGUGAUCUCCUGGAGUUAGUUUCAGCAGAGAGAGGAGAUGAACCUGGGCAGCAGCCGAGCCUCAACUUGGGCGCGGGCGAGGAAGAGCCCAGCACCAGGUCGCCUCCACCUGGGCGCGCGCGGGCCAGGAGGAGCCCCUGGGCGUGGAGGAGGAGCGCCUGGGCAUGCGAGGACGCAGAUGGAGGUGGACUGGAGCGCCUGGCCGGAGGCGGAGGUGGAGGGCGGGGCGGAGAUGGGGACUGAGGUAGUAGAAGACUAGAACCAGGGGUAACGUCAUUUCGCAGGUUUUCACCUAGUCGGAACAAGGUCCCCAACGAUCGUAUAUUUCGGAACGGAGGGAGUACAUGCCCUUAAGUUCUACGCUUAAAAAAAU